AUUGAACGCUGGCGGCAGGCUUAACACAUGCAAGUCGAGCGGGGGAAGGUAGCUUGCUACCGGACCUAGCGGCCGACGGGUGAGUAAUGCUUAGGAAUCUGCCUAUCAGUGGGGGACAACAUGCCGAAAGGGAUGCUAGUACCGCAUACGUCCUACGGGAGAAAGCAGGGGAUCUGCGGACCUUGCGCUACUAGAUGAGCCUAGGACGGGUUAGCUAGUUGGUGGGGUAAAGGCCUACCAAGGCGACGAUCUGUAGCGGGUCUGAGAGGAUGAGCCGCCACACUGGGACUGAGACACGGCCCAGACUCCUACGGGAGGCAGCAGUGGGGAAUAUUGGACAAUGGGGGGAACCCUGGUACAGCCAUGCCGCGUGUGUGAAGAAGGCCUUAUGGUUGUAAAGCACUUUAAGCGAGGAGGAGGCUACUCUAGUUAAUACCUAGGGAUAGUGGACGUUACUCGCAGAAUAAGCACCGGCUAACUCUGUGCCAGCCGCCGCCGUAA
rnacentral:rRNA from 1 species